AAUGGGGGAAACCCUGACCCAGCAACGCCGCGUGAAGGAAGAAGGUCUUCGGAUUGUAAACUUCUUUGAUCAGGGACGAAGAAAUGACGGUACCUGAAGAACAAGCCACGGCUAACUACGUGCCAGCAGCCGCGGUAAUACGUAGGUGGCAAGCGUUAUCCGGAUUUACUGGGUGUAAAGGGCGUGUAGGCGGUUCUGCAAGUCAGAUGUGAAAUUCCCGGGCUUAACUCGGGCGCUGCAUCUGAAACUGCAGAACUUGAGUACUGGAGAGGAUAGUGGAAUUCCUAGUGUAGCGGUAAAAUGCGUAGAUAUUAGGAGGAACACCAGUGGCGAAGGCGGCUAUCUGGACAGUAACUGACGCUGAGGCGCGAAAGCGUGGGGAGCAAA
rnacentral:rRNA from 1 species